rnacentral:rRNA from 1 species
UUGGUUAAGUUAGAAAGGGCGCACGGUGGAUGCCUUGGCACUAGGAGCCGAAGAAGGACGGGACUAACACCGAUAUGCUUUGGGGAGCUGUACGUAAGCGUUGAUCCAGAGAUUUCCGAAUGGGGGAACCCACUAUCUUUAGUCGGAUAGUAUCCUUACGUGAAUACAUAGCGUGAGGAAGGCAGACCCAGGGAACUGAAACAUCUAAGUACCUGGAGGAAGAGAAAGAAAAAUCGAUUUCCUGAGUAGCGGCGAGCGAAACGGAAAGAGCCCAAACCAAGAAGCUUGCUUCUUGGGGUUGUAGGACACUCUAUACGGAGUUACAAAAGAAAGUUAUAAAUGAAGCGGUCUGGAAAGGCCCGCCAAAGACGGUAACAGCCCGGUAGUUGAAAUGGCUUUCCCUCCAGAGUGGAUCCUGAGUACGGCGGAACACGUGAAAUUCCGUCGGAAUCCGGGAGGACCAUCUCCCAAGGCUAAAUACUCCCUAGUGACCGAUAGUGAACCAGUACCGUGAGGGAAAGGUGAAAAGCACCCCGGAAGGGGAGUGAAACAGUUCCUGAAACCGUGUGCCUACAAGUAGUUAGAGCCCGUUAAUGGGUGAUAGCGUGCCUUUUGUAGAAUGAACCGGCGAGUUACGAUUUGUUGCAAGGUUAAGCGGAAAAAGCGGAGCCGUAGCGAAAGCGAGUCUGAAUAGGGCGCAUAAGUAACAGGUCGUAGACCCGAAACCAGGUGAUCUACCCAUGUCCAGGAUGAAGGUAAGGUAAUACUUACUGGAGGUCCGAACCCACGCACGUUGAAAAGUGCGGGGAUGAGGUGUGGGUAGCGGAGAAAUUCCAAUCGAACUUGGAGAUAGCUGGUUCUCUCCGAAAUAGCUUUAGGGCUAGCCUCGAGGUAAAGAGUCAUGGAGGUAGAGCACUGUUUGGACUAGGGGCCCUUCUCGGGUUACCGAAUUCAGAUAAACUCCGAAUGCCAUGUACUUAUACUCGGGAGUCAGACUGCGAGUGAUAAGAUCCGUAGUCGAAAGGGAAACAGCCCAGACCACCAGUUAAGGUCCCCAAAUAUAUGUUAAGUGGAAAAGGAUGUGGGGUUGCUUAGACAACCAGGAUGUUGGCUUAGAAGCAGCCACCAUUGAAAGAGUGCGUAAUAGCUCACUGGUCGAGUGACCCCGCGCCGAAAAUGUACCGGGGCUAAACAUAUUACCGAAACUGUGGAUGAACCUCUUUAGAGGUUCGUGGUAGGAGAGCGUUCUAAGGGCGGUGAAGUCAGACCGGAAGGACUGGUGGAGCGCUUAGAAGUGAGAAUGCCGGUAUGAGUAGCGAAAGAAGGGUGAGAAUCCCUUCCACCGAAUAUCUAAGGUUUCCUGAGGAAGGCUCGUCCGCUCAGGGUUAGUCGGGACCUAAGCCGAGG